ACGAACGCUGGCGGCGUGCUUAACACAUGCAAGUCGAACGUGAACCUUUUCUUCGGAGAAGGGGAAAGUGGCGAACGGGUGAGUAACGCGUAGACAACCUGCCCUCCGGUGGGGGAUAGCCCUGGGAAACUGGGAUUAAUACCGCAUGAAGCACUUGGGCCGCAUGGUCCGGGUGUUAAAGAUUUAUCGCCGGAGGAUGGGUCUGCGUGACAUUAGGUAGUUGGUGAGGUAACGGCUCACCAAGCCUACGAUGUCUAGCUGGUCUGAGAGGAUGAUCAGCCACACUGGGACUGAGACACGGCCCAGACUCCUACGGGAGGCAGCAGUGGGGAAUAUUGGACAAUGGGCGAAAGCCUGAUCCAGCAAUGCCGCGUGAGUGAAGAAGGCCUUAGGGUUGUAAAGCUCUUUCAGUGGGGAAGAUAAUGACGGUACCCACAGAAGAAGCACCGGCAAACUCCGU
rnacentral:rRNA from 1 species